rnacentral:rRNA from 1 species
UUUAUUCACGAAAACUUGAGGUGUGAGAGGGAUUAGAUACCCCAUUAAUUCAAGUGAUAAAUUAUGGCUUAUUGUAGAUUGGAUCUAUUUUUAACAUGUGAUCUUUAUCAACUUAAGGAGGAGGCUUUCAUUUUGGAAACUUAAAUGUUCUGGUGGUGAUUUUGAACAAUAGUGGAAUAGAUGAUUUAAUUCGAUCUUAUGCGAUAAAGCUUAUCUGUUAGUGACUUGAAUACCUCUGAUUUGGUAGAAUUCUAUCCAUUGGUAGUGCAUGGCUGCUCUCAGCUAAUGUUUUGUAAUAUCUGCUU